GUGGGAGCAUCCCCAGCCCAUACUAAAAUUGGAACGAUACCGAGAAGCUUAGCAUGGCCCUUACGCAAGGAUGACACGCAAAAUCUGGAAGCACCCCCAGUGGUU
ensembl:snRNA U6 U6 spliceosomal RNA